AUAAAGAUAAGCUAAAUAUAAGCUCGUGGGUUCAUACCCCAUUUAUAGGAAUCAUCCUUCUUUAUA
rnacentral:tRNA from 2 species